rnacentral:rRNA from 1 species
CACGUAGGGCGCAAGCGUUGUCCGGAAUUAUUGGGCGUAAAGAGCUCGUAGGCGGUCUGUUGCGUCCGCUGUGAAAACUCAGGGCUUAACCCUGAGCUUGCAGUGGGUACGGGCAGACUAGAGUGCGGUAGGGGAGACUGGAAUUCCUGGUGUAGCGGUGAAAUGCGCAGAUAUCAGGAGGAACACCGAUGGCGAAGGCAGGUCUCUGGGCCGAUACUGACGCU